GCAGUGGGGAAUAUUGCACAAUGGGCGAAAGCCUGAUGCAGCAACGCCGCGUGAGGGAUGACGGCCUUCGGGUUGUAAACCUCUUUUAGUAGGGAAGAAGGGAGCUUCGGUUCUUGACGGUACCUGCAGAAAAAGCACCGGCUAACUACGUGCCAGCAGCCGCGGUAAUACGUAGGGUGCAAGCGUUGUCCGGAAUUAUUGGGCGUAAAGAGCUCGUAGGCGGUUUGUCGCGUCUGCUGUGAAAUCCCGAGGCUCAACCUCGGGCUUGCAGUGGGUACGGGCAGACUAGAGUGCGGUAGGGGAGAUUGGAAUUCCUGGUGUAGCGGUGGAAUGCGCAGAUAUCAGGAGGAACACCGAUGGCGAAGGCAGAUCUCUGGGCCGUAACUGACGCUGAGGAGCGAAAGCAUGGGGAGCGAACAGGAUUAGA
rnacentral:rRNA from 1 species